rnacentral:rRNA from 1 species
AUUGAACGCUGGCGGCAGGCCUAACACAUGCAAGUUGAGCGAGCGGCGGACGGGUGAGUAAUGUAUGGGGACUGCCCGAUAGAGGGGGAUAACUACUGGACACGGUAGCUAAUACCGCAUACUAUCGGAUAACCCAUAUGGUAUUAGCUAGUAGGUGAGGUAAUGGCUAACCUAGGCGACGAUCCCUAGCUGGUCUGAGAGGAUGAUCAGCCAAACGGGGACGGAGACACGGACCAGAAUCCUAGGGAGGCAGCAGUGGGGAAUAUUGCACAAUGGGCGCAAGGCUGAUGCAGCCAUGCCGCGUGUAUGAAGAAGGCCCUAGGGGUGUAAAGUACUUUCAGUCGGGAGGCGUUACCGACAGAAGAAGCACCGGAUAACUCCGUGCCAGCAGCCGCGGUAAUAC